GUGGGGAAUCUUGCACAAUGGGCGAAAGCCUGAUGCAGCCAUGCCGCGUGAAUGAUGAAGGCCUUAGGGUUGUAAAAUUCUUUCGUCAGGGAUGAUAAUGACCGUACCUGAAGAAGAAGCCCCGGCUAACUUCGUGCCAGCAGCCGCGGUAAUACGAAGGGGGCUAGCGUUGUUCGGAAUUACUGGGCGUAAAGCGCACGUAGGCGGACUUUUAAGUCAGGUGUGAAAUCCCGGGGCUCAACCUCGGAACUGCAUUUGAAACUGGAAGUCUUGAGAUCAGGAGAGGUUAGCGGAAUACCGAGUGUAGAGGUGAAAUUCGUAGAUAUUCGGUGGAACACCAGUGGCGAAGGCGGCUAACUGGACUGAUACUGACGCUGAGGUGCGAAAGUGUGGGGAGCAAACAGGAUUAGAUACCCGAGUAGUCC
rnacentral:rRNA from 1 species